rnacentral:tRNA from 1 species
CAGUGAGUAGUUCAGUCGGUAGAACAUCUGUUUUGGGAACAGAAGGUCGUAGAUUCAAUUUCUACCUCACUGA